CAGACAUGGACUGCAUGCUACAAAUUUCAUGACUUUGUUACAAGAUCGGCAGAAUAACUGGAUAUUAGGUUGUGAGAUGCUGCUGGGAAGUGAAAUGCACGAAGCACCUCCAUCCUUGAAGAUCUGAAAGACGAUGGGAGUCCAGUACUUACAAAAGCAUGAGAUCCAGCGGUCUAGACAGGCCAAAUUCAAUAAGCGCAUUUUCCACACGCUGAAAAUGGCAGAAGAGCGAAAGGAAGGAACUGAUUGGAAAUGUACACAAACUCAGGGCAGGUCUGUAAUUCGAUCUUACAGAGAUGCAGAGAAGGAGUUUGAACUUUGCAGCUCGGCUGAUCUGCUCUGCUCAAGAGCUCAUUCCAAUCACGCACGUCUGUGGCAUAAUCAGUUGGAGGAAGCCGAGCUCUCUGACAGACAGCGAUGCACAGCACCUCGCAAAGCAAGUGAGGCUUUCAUCUUUAAUACAAGCGCUGGGAGUCUGAGGGUGUCGGGGGUCUACGCAAGCCUCAAACACACACACACACACACACACACACAGG